UAAAUAUUUUAGAAUGAUUUUAUUCUCUAGGUAAUUAUUUGAUCUAUUAUACCCGAAUGAUCAACCCCGACUAAGAACAAAUCUAAGCUUAAUCGUUCCUCUGUUUCUUAUCACCCGCCUGAUUACAAACACCCACUUUCUAAGCUUUUGCUAGGUUUCGAAAGCUUUACACGUAUGGCAAUAUUCUAGAGUGCUUAGGCGGCUCAAUGCCUACUCCUAGAAGAUUUAUGCUAUUCUCGCUAACCUUAAUCCCUAGGAUCUCCGAGAAUCAAUGAGCGGAAUCUUUCUUGAAUCGUCAAGCCUAUUUCUUUUCCUUGUUCGAGAUCCUCCUUAAUAUUUAAGCCUAUCUCUUUCCUUGUUCGAGAUCCUCCUUGAUAUUCAAGCCUAUCUUUUUCCUUAUUUGUUGAGAAGAAUAUUCACCAAAUCUUCUCAACCGACUUUCGUCUUUAAUUACCAUGCCAAGUCAGCAAAGCUUCUUGACACGUCAGAUCAACCACUCCAGCUCCGCCAUGUCAGCUCACGCGUCCAUGUCAGCAACUCAGACGUUUGAUGUAGAUUUGAUGCAGCUUCCUGAUAUCCAACAGCUCUCUGAUGUCCAUCAGCUCGUUGUUGUCAGAAUCUGCAUCUUCAAUCUCCCCCUUUUUGACUUAGUUUGAUACUCAAGCAUCCUUCUGAUUCAACUUGAAAAGAUACUAAACAAACCAAACAAAGAUAAACAGAACAAGCAAUAUCUAGCUAUAGAUAAAAGCUUGUUCAUAUGAGAACUAUCUUAAGAACGCAAAACAUCAAUAACAGCGAAAAUCAAAUUCUUAACCGUUUACAUCACUCAGAAGAAUUCUACCAACGAACUCUAACAACAGGCAGUGAAACUAUGUCUAAACUCAAAACGAAUCAAAUUCAAACAAGUCUCCCACAUAAACAGUGAACACUGCUCAACUAGUAAUUAGUCAACAAUACUUAUCAAGUAAUCAGUCAACUAUGAACAUUACUAAGUAGUCAGCAGUCUGUCAAACUCCCCCACAAUCAAGCAUUCUAUAAACCAGAGUCAUCUCCCCCUGCUUGAGUGCAUAACUAA
rnacentral:sRNA from 1 species